CACAAAAAAAAAAAAAAAAAAACUAUACAAAAACAAGAGCUUCCAGUAUAUGAUACAAAACUCCAACGAUUCCUAACAUACAAAAUGAAACGAAAUUUCUCGAAGUUACUAGGGAAAAGGGAUUGCUUUUUUCCUCCUGUGCAACCAAAAUUUGGAUCGAAUUCGUAGGCGAAACAAAACGAAUGAAUCUAACAUUGAUGAUGAUGAUGAUUCUCGACUGGCCUUACUGGAGAUUGAAUCAUCGCCGCCAUCGGCAAUCGGAAACCCUCCGCCGGAAGUUCGAUCUCUGCAUGAAUCUGCAGAGACAGUGUAGAGUACAUAAUUUCGCAUUAAACGAGAGAGAGUGAAUGCAGGAGUUGCGGGCGAUCGUAUAAUAGAGAAAGCUGUUUUUAGGUAUAAGAUGGUGAAGUACAAUUCAUAAAGGCCUCUGUGAGACACAGACGCGGAGUGUGACUGUG
rnacentral:misc_RNA from 1 species